GAUGAAGAAUCGGUGGUGGAGGUUGGGGAAUUUGAAACCUGUCGUCGAAACAAAACUCCAUGAAGAUUUUUUGUAUGGACUCAAUUGCUCCGCUGCCUCUUUCGGUGCUGAAGGACAAUGGGUUUUGGUUUUAGGCUCAACGUCCUCAAGUCUGGCUUUCCACUUCAUCACUCUCACUGUCAAGCUGCUGCUUCUCCUUCCAAGCUCUCUUUUACUUCUGUUAGAGGCAGGGAGGGCUCUUUCAACUCGGCAAGGCUGUCAUUCCUGUCCAUUAUCUCUGAGGAAGGCGAGAUUUCCGGUAAAGAUACUCUGAAAGUGUGCUCUUUUUCAUCUGCUUCGCCGCAGAUCUUAGAGGAUGGCGUCUCAGAAAUGGAACAGACAAGCUUUAGGAGUAGUUCGUCCAACACGACUGGGAAUAACCAGAUGCCUGUUGCAGACGGAAACUUUAGAUCCGUUAACACCUUAGAAUCUUGCAGUGCAGCUCAUUUUAGUUUGUUACUGAAAAAUCUCGAUGCUCUGGAGGAGACUUUUGCUAAUUCAGAUGUGUUAAAGUUGGAAAAAGAGAUACUUCUGCAAUUAGGAAGGCUUGGAGCUCUACAGUUAUUCGAUGCCUGUUUGUCGAGAACUCUUACAUCCUCAAGCUUUUUUUAUUUGUCUGACAUACCUACUGUACCGAUUGAAGAGCAUAAGAUAGAUAAGAAGGUAGAUAACAACAGAGGUAAGGUUAUUGUACGUUCUGGGAAAAAGGAAGAAAAAAGAUCAAGAAAAAGAGCAUUAGAUAAUGCCAGAGUUUCUUCUGACUCAUUGCCUCCUAAAUCAACUUUGGAAGGUUUCAAUCAUCCUAUUGUUUCAUCGGCGAAAAGAGCAUCAAAGUAUCGAAAGAGUAGACUUAAAAUUGCUAAAAAUGAGGCAGAAAUGUCAACCGGGGUUAAGGUGAUUGCCAAUUUGGAGAGAAUUAAAGCAACUUUGGAAAAGGAAACUGGCACCGUAGCUACCUUAAGUUGUUGGGCGGAAGCAGCGGGAGUUCACGAGAAGGUGCUGUUACAGAAAUUGCAUUUUGGUUGGUACUGCCAGGAUGAGCUUAUAAGGAGCACUCGUUCCUUAGUUCUAUACCUUGCUAGAAGCUAUAGAGGGCUAGGAGUAGCCAUGGAUGAUUUACUGCAGGCUGGAAACCAGGGUCUCCUGCAAGGUGCAGAAAGGUAUGAUCACUCGAGGGGUUACCGAUUCUCAACCUAUGUCCGAUACUGGAUAAAGAAAUCAAUGUCAAGAUUGGUGGCACGGCAUGCUAGGGAAAUCCAAAUUCCUUUCACGCUAAGCAAGGCAAUAAAUCAGAUAACGAAAGCUCGCAAAGCCACUUACAACAGACACAUGAGAUACCCAGAUGAUGACGAAAUUGCAAAGAUUACAGGUCUUUCGUUGGUGAGAAUCAGAUCAGCUAGCACAUGUCUGAGAGUUGUGGGUUCGGUAGAUGACAAGAUGUGGGACAACUCUCCUGGGACUUUUAUGGAAUGUACGCCGGACGCAUCAAUAAAGAGCCCUGAAGAAACUGUCACAAGACAGCACAUGAAAAAAGACAUCCAUGAUCUGCUGAAAUGCUUGAACUCGAAGGAGAGGCAAGUGUUGGUGCUGCGAUAUGGGUUAAACAACUACGACCCCAAUUCACUUGAGGAGAUUGGAAAGCUUUUCGAUGUGAGCAAGGAAUGGAUACGGAAGAUAGAAAAGAAAGCUCUCACGAAGCUAAGGGACGAUGAAACACACAGAAGUUUAAGCCAUUACUUGAAAAACUAGUAGAUUCAGAGUAAUACGAAAAAGAGCAAGUCAUUCUGAGCUUCUCUAUCAGAAGUAGUAGGCCGGGAGAAUUAGUCAUCAUACACUGACAACCAUCGCUUCUUUCUGAUAAAGAUUAAAGGAUACGCAGAAUCAUGGGUGACCUUCGGUUUGUUCCCCGCCAAAAUUUCAGCUCAACUCUACCGUGGGAAUUUUUUGGUUCUUUCAUAUCUUUUGUGUUCUGUCUCACCCUCCACGCAAUGAGGCUUACGUAGCCAUUUGAAGGCCGUGAUUACAAAGUAGCUUGAUUUCUUGGAUAAGGAUGUUGUGUGCCAUAGAAACCAGAAAGCUUGGACUUGUUCACCUCAUACCUUCAACUCCCAUGACCGGUUUUCUGUCACUUAAACAUGAAAACAGUGCUUAAACGCGCAGAAAAUCAGGUUUUCAAAUAACUUAAAUGCGUAUGACAGAAUUUAACGGGCUGCCCAUUGUACAUUGUUGUAUAAUAGUAUGACUCAUUAAGAUAUUUUUCUUGCAAAACCCAUC